rnacentral:rRNA from 1 species
GAGUUUGAUCCUGGCUCAGAACGAACGCUGGCGGCGCGUCUUAAGCAUGCAAGUCGAACGGUAAGGGAGAGCUUGCUCUCCCCUAGAGUGGCGGACUGGUGAGUAACGCGUAGGUGACCUACCCUGAAGAUGGGGAUAGCUAGUAGAAAUAUUAGAUAAUACCGAAUAAGCUCAUUUGCAUAAAGGCAGAUGAGGAAAGGAGCUACGGCUCCGCUUUAGGAUGGGCCUGCGUCCCAUUAGCUAAGUUGGUGAGGUAAAGGCUUACCAAGGCAACGAUGGGUAUCCGGCCUGAGAGGGUGAACGGACACAUUGGGACUGAGAUACGGCCCAAACUCCUACGGGAGGCAGCAGCUAAGAAUCUUCCGCAAUGGACGAAAGUCUGACGGAGCGACGCCGUGUGAAUGAAGAAGGCUGAAAAGUUGUAAAAUUCUUUUGCAGAUGAAGAAUAAGGAUAGGAGGGAAUGCCUAUCUGAUGACGGUAGUUCAUGCGAAUAAGCCCCG